CGCGCGCCGCCCUGCGCUGAGGGGACGCGGUCCGUCGGGGCUCGGCGCGAGCGGGAAAGGAGGGGGGGGAGAGCAGCAGCAGGAGGACGCUCAAGCAGAGAGUGCGGGUCGUCAUGGCGGGAAGGCGGGGGUCUGCAGGAUGGUGGUCCCUCCCUGACUGGUAAAACCGAACAGGAAAAGCAGACCCCCUAUUAGCGGGACAACAUCAGAGGGAUACCUCCAUGGUCGACAGGCACAGGAAUAAGAAAGGAGACUGCCCAAAUUAGCAUUGGGUUGAAAGGUGAGCUCUUUCCACAGGAAUGCAAAAUAACAGUGUAUCAUCAUGGACUGGAAGUUUAACCAGGAAAUCGGCCUCACGGCAGAGAUGUCAGCAAAGGCCUCCCGGUCCUGCUCAGUCCAUUCCCUGCCCUCUAUGUGGUAGGGAGUGAACUGGGUGAACAACGACACCACGUGGCAGCCAGGUGGAGCCAGAGUAGGGUCCAAAACAGAAGGGAUGGUCAUCUCCAACAUAGGUCUACCAGAAUGCAGGAUCAUGAUGAAAUGGUGGCAAGUGAAAGAUGGGCGUCCAUUCAUGGCCUCUUUGUAUGCAGCCUCCAGGAAUUCUACACUUUCACAGUUGAGAUGAAUGGAGCACUGAUGGUGGGGUCCUGCUUUAUUGUCUGGUGUGGGAGAAGCUAGGAAGUUUGGUAGCUUGUCCACGGCCACUGUAAAAACAGGUAUCGCUUUUAUACAAAUUCAUACUUUUUGGAAAGCUAAAUGUGUACUUAGCUUAGCUUUAAAGAAAAGUAAAAAGUUCCCUGUACUUUGUCAUUUGUAGUAUUUGGAGUGAUCAGUGAUGGAGCUUGAAAAUCCUUGUUAAUGUCAAGUCAUGUCAAGUAACAUGACAGAAACAGAAUGGAGCUACCGUUGAGCUUUGUAACUGGUGAGGUGUAGUCUAUCUGAUCUGUGGCUCUGAUGAACUCUGGGGAAAGGGCAGCCUGCAAAGAAACAGGAAGAUAAGAUAAAAUUGCCCUGUGACUUGGCUACAUGUGAUGUACUGAACAUAGACCCAUCUCACCUGGGGCACAAGGUGCUUGUAUGUGACGUGUGGUGUAGCAUUUGAUAAAACAACUCUACUGUGGAUCUCUGUGCCAUCAUUCAGCACCACUCCUUUAGCCACUCUAUCUGAAUCCACCAGGACUUGUUUUACAUCCUGCCAAGGAUACAUGUGCAGAAUAGUUGGAAUAUGAAUUGUGGAAUAAUAAAAUGCAUCAUAUAAUUUGUGAAAACCACAUCACCUUCUCAGUGAAAAUGUCUACACCAUAGGAUCGAGCUGCUCUGGCAAUAGCCUGAGACACUCCUCCCAUGCCUCCCUCUACAUAACCCCAAGCUCCUUUCUCAUUUUCCAGCUCUCCCAUUACAUGAUGUAGGAGCACAUAACUGUGAGACAAGAAUGUCAGAUCAGUGUUCAGGCAGUUAAAAACCUUGCGAGUGUUUGUGUGCUCUAUAAUGUGUCUUACCCACUGCCAGGGUUAUUUGGACUGGUCAUAGCACCGAUCACAGCAUCAGUUGCCAGUGUUGCUUUGAGUGGUUCAGACUCAAACCACUGAUUGAGGAUCUACAAAAGAAUCAGUCAUUAUGUACUCGGCAUAAAACUGCUAAUGUUAUCAAACCAUGUCUCUGCUAUAACCAACCUUCAUUAUUGGUGCAGUGAUAAUCUCAUAAAAGUCUGGAAUGUUUUUUCCCAAUUUCAAACCUGAAAAACAUUUCAUACACUUUUGGUCCAAAUACAACAACUUAAUGCAAAGUAAAUAAUUUGUUUUGUUUGCUUUCGGACAUUUAGAAUAUUAAAGCACGCGUCCACCAACACACCACAUUUGACAAUAGGCAUCAGUGUUUUAGCUGCAGCCAGUCUCCUCCUCAGUGAGCCAGUGGUAACACCUGGAAUGUUUACAGGAGGAGCAUCCAAGAGAGGGUGAAUAGCUUCUGCUAGCUUCUCAAGGUGUGCAACAUAAGCUGGGAAAGCCUGGGUACACGUCAAAGAACAUAAGGGGGAGUGUGGAUAUGUAGGACUGCAAUAACUUUAUACUGGUGUGGAAAUAAAGAAAAAGUCAGGCAGCGAUGGACUUCAUCAUUGUGUGACAAUGGGCUGCAGUAUAAAAUACAGAGACACACACAAUGCUGUCAAGCAUGCAGGUAUCAUACCUUCUGAAACAAACACACACAAAAAAACUGAAUAACCUUAGCAUCCUUGUGUGAGAACUUGCUUAUCUCCCUCUGGUUCAUGGCCAAAUCAGAGCCCAAGGUGAGAGACCUUGGUGGAGCACCGCGCACCCCUUCCUCCAGCAUGGGGGUGAACGCAUGGGGGUCUCUCAAAUACACCCUCAGCCCAUGUUUCUGAGUGUAAAUGAUAAAACAACAUGAAACAAGGGGUUUCUGUAAACAAGGUACAACAAUGGUAAAUCCCAGGUAGGUAAAGGCAGAGUUUACCUUGAGCUCUAAGUCUUUGUAUAUGUGGGGUCGUAACAAACUGAGCAAAUAGGAACAUCUGGAGAACCGGAAGCCUGGGUACAUGAGGAUUAUUACUUUCACAGGACCAUAGCAUAAAUCACAUACAAUAACCAUUGCACUUUACAGAUACAGCGCCACUGAAUGGUUGUUGCAACAAAGUUGCAGAACACAGUGAUCCUGCUGCUUGUUUGUCAUUUUUCACUCAUCCUACCAGGAAUGAUCUCCUCGGAAACAGCUGCUCCUCCCAGCACAUAUCUGCGCUCCAGCACUGCUGUCUUCAGGCCUCCCUUCUGGAGAUAGGCAGCCUACACACACGCACACACACGCACGCACACACACACUCGGCCUUUACCCUCUUGUUCAUCUAUCACAGAAUAUAUUACCUAUUAUGUAUCAUAUAUUGACAGACUUUACCGCCACCAGUCCAUUGUGUCCUGCAAAUAAGAGUAAAAUCAGUUUUACAUUCGGGCUUUAUUUCAACAUUUUUUAACACAGUUUUAACACAGCUUUUGCUGUUUAACACAGCUUUGCUGUUUAACAAACUGUUGUACAAGCUGCUUUUUAGGAAUUUUCACCGUCAAGUUCAAAGUGUCCGUCAAAUAUCAACGAGAGAAACUCGCUGAGUCUUUGCAAACUGCUGCAAACUUGACUACAUUAUUGCAAGUUGCAGACUUUGGCGCGCAGGCUCCGAGCUCGCUGCUCCUCGUUCUGCGCGUCGUCCAGCGGUUCACGGAUCUCACCUCCGCCGAUGACCAGCGCAUCGUACUGGGAUUUUAAAGCUGUCCCGCUGGAUCCAGAUCUAGACCGGAUCACCGUGUUCACGACAGCCGCGGACCUGCGUCCUCGUCCGGUCCAUACGGCUGCAGCCAUGCCUGGAGCUUGAUGGUGGAACCCCCCCUUUCCUCUUCACGUAACGUAGAUCCGGGUGUUAAAUGCGCUCUCCCAUCAGUGCCACAUGACAACAUUUGAAGUCUUCGCCAAAAUGCAAGUAUGAUGGACACGCGUCUUAGCCAAUAGAGUGGGGAGGACUUGGCUCUGUGGACCAAUCAGACGCCACUUCCUUAUCGCGGCCUGCGGUGGCGCUCGGUGGGCGUUUAUCCGCCUCGGCCUCCGCUGCUUGGCUCAGGCAGGGAAGUGUAGAGGCAGCGAGGGCGCACGGGAGGAGGCGAGGAGCUGUGAAAACAAAACGACCCCAGGGGAAUGUAAAACUUUGGGACUGAAAUCACCCACAAGACGUUGCGCCGGCCUCCCCUAACAUUUAACAUAUUAGCUGGUUUCUCAUGGAAGCAGAUGGAUUUGUAAGGAGGCGUCGGAUGACAGCGGAGAAUGCAGGCAAUGAUCCCGGGGUAGCUGGUGCCUCUGCCGGUGCAGAAGUUCGCUGGAUGCGGGGCAGGUUUUGGGGAGUUUCGAAAAGUAUCGCUGGGAGUCUGACACCUCGGAUCGGAAUCGAGCCUGAACUACAGACGGUUGAUUUGAUUUGCAGUCCACAAGAUGCAGACACUGAUGACUCUGAACCAGACUAUGAGGGGCUGCCUCAGACUGCGGUCAAGUGAGCCGUCGUUCGUUCAUCCGUCGUUCAGCCAGCCGCGCUUCGGAAACGUCUUGCGCCCGUAUUACGCGCUUUACAGCAGAGCACAAAACACGCUCGUCGCGACUUCCUCUUUUCAUAGCGACACGUCUGGUCUGUUCAAAAUAUAGAAAAAUACGAAACAAAAUAUUGCAUGUAUAGAAAAACUGUCGCCUAAUGAAGAUCUGUAUACUUUUACUGUAAAAUUAAGCAUUUAUUAUUAUUUAAAACUACCAUGUCAUACUGUGAAACUUUUAUAAUUAAUAACUUAACUUUGGUGCAUAGUUCCAGGCUCAGACCACUUUCCCCUUGUUCUACUAGAGGUGUACUAUCACCCCACAAAAAUGCAUGUAUUUUUACUGUAUAGUUUUGGAUUUAUUAGUAUUCAAAACUACCAUGUCAUACUGUAACUGUAUAGGCCGUAUAGUCAACUUUAAUCGUUAAUAACUUGACUUUGGUGCAUAGUUCCAUGCCCAGACCACUUUCCCCUUGUUCUACUAGAUGUGUACUAUCACCACACAAAGAUUCAUGUAUUUUUACUGUAUAGUUUAUGAUUUAUUAGUAUUCAAAACUACCAUGUCAUACUGUAAUACAGUCAACUUUGAUCAUUAAUAACUUGACUUUGGUGCAUAGUUCCAGGCUCAGACCACUUUCCUCUUGUUCUACUAGAGGUGUACUAUUACCCCACAAAGAUCUGUAUAUUUUUACUGUAUAGUUUUGGAUUUAUUAGUAUUCAAAACUACCAUGUCAUACUGUAAUACAGUAAACCUUGAUAAUCAAUAACUUGACUUUGGUGCAUAGUUCCAGGCCCAGACCACUUUCCCCUUGUUCUACUAGAUGUGUACUAUCACCCCACAAAGAUUAGUGUAUUUUUACUGUAUAGUUUUGGAUUUAUUAGUACUUGAAAGUACCAUGUCAUACUGUAAUACAGUCAACUUUGAUCAUUAAUAACUUGACCUUGGUGCAUAGUUCCAGGCUCAGACCACUUUCCCCUUGUUCUACUAGAUGUGUACUAUCACCCCACAAAAAUGCAUGUAUUUUUACUGUAUAGUUUUGGAUUUAUUAGUAUUCAAAACUACCAUGUCAUACUGUAAUACAGUCAACUUUAAUCAUUAAUAACUUGACUUUGGUGCAUAGUUCCAGGCUCAGACCACUUUCCUCUUGUUCUACUAGAGGUGUACUAUUACCCCACAAAGAUCUGUAUAUUUUUACUGUAUAGUUUUGGAUUUAUUAGUACUCAAAACUAGCAGUUCAUACUGUAACUGUAUAGGCCGUAUAGUCAACUUUAAUGAUCAAUAACUUUAAUUUGGUGCAUAGUUCCAGGCUCAGACCACUUUCCUCUUGUUCUACUAGAGGUGUACUAUUACCCCACAAAGAUCUGUAUAUUUUUACUGUAUAGUUUUGGAUUUAUUAGUACUCAAAACUAGCAGUUCAUACUGUAACUGUAUAGGCCGUAUAGUCAACUUUAAUGAUCAAUAACUUUAAUUUGGUGCAUAGUUCCAGGCUCAGACCACUUUCCCCUUGUUCUACUAGAGGUGUACUAUCACCACACAAAAAUGCAUGUAUUUUUACUGUAUAGUUUUGGAUUUAUUAGUAUUCAAAACUACCAUGUCAUACUGUAACUGUAUGGGCCGUAUAGUCAACUUUAAUCAUUAAUAACUUGACUUUGGUGCAUAGUUCCAGGCUCAGACCACUUUCCCCUUGUUCUACUAGAUGUGUACUAUCACCACACAAAGAUUCAUGUAUUUUUACUGUAUAGUUUUGGAUUUAUUAGUAUUCAAAACUACAAUGUCAUACUGUAAUAAAGUCAACUUUAAUCAUUAAUAACUUGACUUUGGUGCAUAGUUCCAGGCUCAGACCACUUUCCCCUUGUUCUACUAGAUGUGUACUAUCACCACACAAAGAUUCGUGUAUUUUUACUGUAUAGUUUUGGAUUUAUUAGUACUCAAAACUAGCAGUUCAUACUGUAACUGUAUAGGCCGUAUAGUCAACUUUAAUGAUCAAUAACUUUAAUUUGGUGCAUAGUUCCAGGCUCAGACCACUUUCCCCUUGUUCUACUAGAGGUGUACUAUUACCCCACAAAGAUUAGUGUAUUUUUACUGUAUAGUUUAUGAUUUAUUAGUAUUCAAAACUACAAUGUCAUACUGUAAUAAAGUCAACUUUAAUCAUUAAUAACUUGACUUUGGUGCACAGUUCCAGGCUCAGACCACUUUCCCCUUGUUCUACUAGAUGUGUACUAUCACCACACAAAGAUUCAUGUAUUUUUACUGUAUAGUUUUGGAUUUAUUAGUAUUCAAAACUACCAUGUCAUACUGUAAUACAGUCAACUUUGAUCAUUAAUAACUUGACUUUGGUGCAUAGUUCCAGGCUCAGACCACUUUCCCCUUGUUCUACUAGAUGUGUACUAUCACCACACAAAGAUUCAUGUAUUUUUACUGUAUAGUUUAUGAUUUAUUAGUAUUCAAAACUACCAUGUCAUACUGUAAUACAGUCAACUUUGAUCAUUAAUAACUUGACUUUGGUGCAUAGUUCCAGGCUCAGACCACUUUCCCUUUGUUCUACUAGAUGUGUACUAUCACCACACAAAGAUUCAUGUAUUUUUACUGUAUAGUUUAUGAUUUAUUAGUACUUGAAAGUACCAUGUCAUACUGUAAUAAAGUCAACUUUAAUCAUUAAUAACUUGACUUUGGUGCAUAGUUCCAGGCUCAGACCACUUUCCCCUUGUUCUACUAGAUGUGUACUAUCACCCCACAAAAAUGCAUGUAUUUUUACUGUAUAGUUUUGGAUUUAUUAGUAUUCAAAACUACCAUGUCAUACUGUAAUACAGUCAACUUUAAUCAUUAAUAACUUGACUUUGGUGCAUAGUUCCAGGCUCAGACCACUUUCCUCUUGUUCUACUAGAGGUGUACUAUUACCCCACAAAGAUCUGUAUAUUUUUACUGUAUAGUUUUGGAUUUAUUAGUAUUCAAAACUACCAUGUCAUACUGUAACUGUAUGGGCCGUAUAGUCAACUUUAAUCAUUAAUAACUUGACUUUGGUGCAUAGUUCCAGGCUCAGACCACUUUCCCCUUGUUCUACUAGAUGUGUACUAUCACCACACAAAGAUUCAUGUAUUUUUACUGUAUAGUUUAUGAUUUAUUAGUACUUGAAAGUACCAUGUCAUACUGUAAUACAGUCAACUUUGAUAAUCAAUAACUUGACUUUGGUGCAUAGUUCCAGGCUCAGACCACUUUCCCUUUGUUCUACUAGAUGUGUACUAUCACCACACAAAGAUUCGUGUAUUUUUACUGUAUAGUUUUGGAUUUAUUAGUACUUGAAAGUACCAUGUCAUACUGUAAUAAAGUCAACUUUAAUCAUUAAUAACUUGACUUUGGUGCAUAGUUCCAGGCCCAGACCACUUUCCCUUUGUUCUACUAGAUGUGUACUAUCACCCCACAAAAAUGCAUGUAUUUUUACUGUAUAGUUUUGGAUUUAUUAGUAUUCAAAACUAGCAGUUCAUACUGUAACUGUAUAGGCCGUAUAGUCAACUUUAAUCGUUAAUAACUUGACUUUGGUGCAUAGUUCCAGGCUCAGACCACUUUCCUCUUGUUCUACUAGAGGUGUACUAUUACCCCACAAAGAUCUGUAUAUUUUUACUGUAUAGUUUUGGAUUUAUUAGUACUCAAAACUAGCAGUUCAUACUGUAACUGUAUAGGCCGUAUAGUCAACUUUAAUGAUCAAUAACUUUAAUUUGGUGCAUAGUUCCAGGCUCAGACCACUUUCCCCUUGUUCUACUAGAUGUGUACUAUCACCACACAAAGAUUCGUGUAUUUUUACUGUAUAGUUUUGGAUUUAUUAGUAUUCAAAACUACCAUGUCAUACUGUAACUGUAUGGGCCGUAUAGUCAACUUUAAUCAUUAAUAACUUGACUUUGGUGCAUAGUUCCAGGCUCAGACCACUUUCCCCUUGUUCUACUAGAUGUGUACUAUCACCCCACAAAAAUGCAUGUAUUUUUACUGUAUAGUUUUGGAUUUAUUAGUAUUCAAAACUACCAUGUCAUACUGUAAUACAGUCAACUUUAAUCAUUAAUAACUUGACUUUGGUGCAUAGUUCCAGGCUCAGACCACUUUCCUCUUGUUCUACUAGAGGUGUACUAUUACCCCACAAAGAUCUGUAUAUUUUUACUGUAUAGUUUUGGAUUUAUUAGUACUCAAAACUAGCAGUUCAUACUGUAACUGUAUAGGCCGUAUAGUCAACUUUAAUGAUCAAUAACUUUAAUUUGGUGCAUAGUUCCAGGCUCAGACCACUUUCCCCUUGUUCUACUAGAGGUGUACUAUUACCCCACAAAGAUUCGUGUAUUUUUACUGUAUAGUUUAUGAUUUAUUAGUAUUCAAAACUACAAUGUCAUACUGUAAUAAAGUCAACUUUAAUCAUUAAUAACUUGACUUUGGUGCACAGUUCCAGGCUCAGACCACUUUCCCCUUGUUCUACUAGAUGUGUACUAUCACCCCACAAAAAUGCAUGUAUUUUUACUGUAUAGUUUUGGAUUUAUUAGUAUUCAAAACUACAAUGUCAUACUGUAAUAAAGUCAACUUUAAUCAUUAAUAACUUGACUUUGGUGCAUAGUUCCAGGCUCAGACCACUUUCCCCUUGUUCUACUAGAUGUGUACUAUCACCACACAAAGAUUCGUGUAUUUUUACUGUAUAGUUUUGGAUUUAUUAGUAUUCAAAACUACCAUGUCAUACUGUAACUGUAUGGGCCGUAUAGUCAACUUUAAUCAUUAAUAACUUGACUUUGGUGCAUAGUUCCAGGCUCAGACCACUUUCCCCUUGUUCUACUAGAUGUGUACUAUCACCCCACAAAAAUGCAUGUAUUUUUACUGUAUAGUUUUGGAUUUAUUAGUAUUCAAAACUACCAUGUCAUACUGUAAUACAGUCAACUUUAAUCAUUAAUAACUUGACUUUGGUGCAUAGUUCCAGGCUCAGACCACUUUCCUCUUGUUCUACUAGAGGUGUACUAUUACCCCACAAAGAUCUGUAUAUUUUUACUGUAUAGUUUUGGAUUUAUUAGUACUCAAAACUAGCAGUUCAUACUGUAACUGUAUAGGCCGUAUAGUCAACUUUAAUGAUCAAUAACUUUAAUUUGGUGCAUAGUUCCAGGCUCAGACCACUUUCCCCUUGUUCUACUAGAGGUGUACUAUUACCCCACAAAGAUUCGUGUAUUUUUACUGUAUAGUUUAUGAUUUAUUAGUAUUCAAAACUACAAUGUCAUACUGUAAUAAAGUCAACUUUAAUCAUUAAUAACUUGACUUUGGUGCACAGUUCCAGGCUCAGACCACUUUCCCCUUGUUCUACUAGAUGUGUACUAUCACCCCACAAAAAUGCAUGUAUUUUUACUGUAUAGUUUUGGAUUUAUUAGUAUUCAAAACUACAAUGUCAUACUGUAAUAAAGUCAACUUUAAUCAUUAAUAACUUGACUUUGGUGCAUAGUUCCAGGCUCAGACCACUUUCCUCUUGUUCUACUAGAGGUGUACUAUUACCCCACAAAGAUCUGUAUAUUUUUACUGUAUAGUUUUGGAUUUAUUAGUAUUCAAAACUACCAUGUCAUACUGUAACUGUAUGGGCCGUAUAGUCAACUUUAAUCAUUAAUAACUUUAAUUUGGUGCAUAGUUCCAGGCUCAGACCACUUUCCCCUUGUUCUACUAGAUGUGUACUAUCACCCCACAAAAAUGCAUGUAUUUUUACUGUAUAGUUUAUGAUUUAUUAGUAUUCAAAACUACCAUGUCAUACUGUAAUACAGUCAACUUUAAUCAUUAAUAACUUGACUUUGGUGCAUAGUUCCAGGCUCAGACCACUUUCCUCUUGUUCUACUAGAGGUGUACUAUCACCACACAAAGAUUCAUGUAUUUUUACUGUAUAGUUUUGGAUUUAUUAGUAUUCAAAACUAGCAGUUCAUACUGUAACUGUAUAGGCCGUAUAGUCAACUUUAAUGAUCAAUAACUUUAAUUUGGUGCAUAGUUCCAGGCUCAGACCACUUUCCCCUUGUUCUACUAGAUGUGUACUAUCACCACACAAAGAUUCAUGUAUUUUUACUGUAUAGUUUAUGAUUUAUUAGUACUUGAAAGUACCAUGUCAUACUGUAAUACAGUAAACUUUGAUCAUUAAUAACUUGACUUUGGUGCAUAGUUCCAGGCCCAGACCACUUUCCCCUUGUUCUACUAGAUGUGUACUAUCACCACACAAAGAUUCGUGUAUUUUUACUGUAUAGUUUUGGAUUUAUUAGUACUUGAAAGUACCAUGUCAUACUGUAAUACAGUCAACUUUGAUAAUCAAUAACUUGACUUUGGUGCAUAGUUCCAGGCUCAGACCACUUUCCUCUUGUUCUACUAGACGUGUCAUGUUUUUAUAUAAAGAACAGUAAGUAAGGCUAGGCAGGAAUAUAGACAUUCAACCCCUUUAUUAACAUCUGUUGGACUCAAAAGGGAAAGUGUGACAUUUUUCUCCAGCAACAACAAAAGUUAUUGAUCAUGUUCAGUGUCACACACACACACACACACACACACACACACACACACACACACACACACACACACACACACACACACACACACACACACAUACACAAGUCAAGGGAACACAGUCAAAAGCUGAACAUUUGUGUGGAACACAAAUACAACUUUAUGUAAAAAUGAGAAAUGCGGUGAGACAGGUAGAAUAAUUCCUGUUACUUUUUCAUGGCUAAUGAAUUAUUUACAAAGACAGCAAUUCCAGUCUUCACUUGCUGCCUUUUUAAGGGUGUCUUUAUCUAAGUUUAGGCACUGUGCGUGAUACCACCGGCAACAGCCAUCACACUGUAUCUGUAAAAGGGUACAUGAAUGACCAUUGUAUAGCAUUAAAAUGAAAUCGUUUUUUGUUCUCAUCAAACGCAUUACUAUUUCUAUGUUUGUUUUAUCAGUUAUUGCCCCCUCUGUUCCAAUUCUUGCACAUUGUAAUAUUUAAACAUUACAGAAAACAUAAUCAUAACAAGCCUCCGUUGCUGAAAACAAAAACAGUACUUUACCCAGUCUGUAAAGGCUGGUCCUGAUCCUGGUGGCUUUGUGGUUGAGCACAUAGCACAGUUACUGUCUGUGUUGAACACUAAAAUGUUAAAACAAAUUGUAUAUAUUAAGAUAUUCAUUAAUAGAUUUAAUGCAAUAUUGUAUUUUUACAAUACAGACUGAUAACAAUACAAAGGCAAUGUUACACACCAGAAGCGUGUAAUAUUUCACACGCUAUGUUUGUGCGUUCUUGUGCCAUUUGUUUUCUUGUCGUUUUGAAGUCCAUUCUUGGCAUAUUUGGGAAGGCCUCCAUCACUAACCUGGCCAUCUAAAUAACAUAAUUUAGACACAAGUUUUAAUUUUUAUGAGUGACACUACUUGUAGGAAAUCAUGCAUUGACUAAACCAUUUUUUGCUUACCAUAAUCACAAUGACCCCACAGCUACUGCUAUCUUUCUGAACUGGGUGAUGCAUAAUGGCCCCCUUCCAUUUUUUAUCCACCCAGUCAGUUUUGCUGUGGCAGGCCCGUCUCAUGUUGAAAUAGUCACUGCAAUAGUAGCAAUUUUUAAAUAUUAUUAUUAUUAUUAUUAGCAGUAGUGGUAGUGGUAGUAGUAGUAGUAGUAGUAGUAGUAGUAGGGGAGUAAUUACUUUAAUGCUGUCAAAAUCUAUAACACACUUUACACAUAUCAGAAAACAUUAUAUCUAUAUGUAACAAAACCAAAUGAAUCCAUGAAUGAAGACAACCCAUAGAAGUGCACAAGAAGCUAUUGAAUGAAUUGGUCUUAAUUUACCUACACUAGUUAUGUUGAAACGUUUGGCAAAAAUCUGAAUGUUUUUACUGAUUGUAAGUCAAUGACCUACAGACAAUUCCUUUAUGACUCUUAUCUCUAGAUUAUGUACCGCAGUCUUUUCGCUGCUUGCUCCGACUCUACCAGUUCUUUGGCACUUUUUGCAGGAUCCACAAGAUAGACCUUACUUCGGUCUGAAUCAACGUAC